rnacentral:rRNA from 1 species
AUGAGUGUUUUUAAAGUUCCAGCUGGCCUCUGUGAGGAUCUCAUGAAGAUAAUUCGCCGCUUCUGAAGGGGAGCAGAAAAGGGCAAGCGUAAAACCCAUUGGGUGAGUUGGGACAUUAUGUUGCGACCCAAGGGGAGAGAUGGUAUGGCCCUUAUGGGGUUUAAAGAUUUGAGGUUGUUCAAUCAAGCUCUGCUUGUUCCUCAAGCAUGGCGUCGAAUUCAGUUCCCAGAGAGCCUAUGUGCACAGGUCCUACGAGCCAAGUACUAUCAGUAUGGAUCCAUUAUUGACACAGUCUUCACAGGGAAUGGUUCAUCGACAUGGGCGGCUAUUGAAUAUGGGCUAGAGCUAGUUAAGCUAGGGUGCAUCUAGCGUGUUGGAACUGGAGCGAACGUACGCAUAUGGCGGGAUCCUUGGAUCCCGAGGGGGCCCUCCUUUAGGCCGAUCACACAAAAACAUCAAUGCAGACUAAAAUGGGUGGCAAAUUUUCUCAAUGUCGAUGGAUCUUGGAAUAUGUCACUUCUCACACAACAUUUCCUUCCAGCAGAUGUCUCCGAGAUUCUAAAAAGCAAGGCCUCUCGUCGAUUCGAAGCAGACUCUCUUGCCUGGCAGCCCGACAAGCAAGGGUGAUUAUCAGUGCGGUCGGCAUACAAUAUGGCCCUCGAUCUGAUCAUGGCACAACAAGGAGUUGGAGAAUCAAGCACGAGACAAGAUGGGUCUAGGCCUGCAUGGAAGCUGCUAUGGAAAUGUGGGGCUCCACCUAUGGUAUGUGUCUUUGCUUGGAAAGCUGCUCGAGAGGCCCUGGCUAAUCGUGCGAAUAAGAAGCACCGGCACAUGGAAUUGGAUGGAACCUGCACAAUAUGUGGGCAAGAGGAUGAAACAGUUCAUCAUGAUCUAAUUAGAUGCCCUCACGCCUAG